rnacentral:tRNA from 1 species
GGGGUUGUGGCUCAGGGGUAGAGAGCUUGCCUGACAUGCAUGAGGCACUGGGUUCGAUCCUCAGCACCACA